GCCUCCCCAGGACGUGUCCCCAGCGGCUGGACGAGAGGCUGUGUGCUCGGGCCCCGACGCCAACUCGGAAACACUGCCGAGGAGCAGCAGCUGAAGACGCCUGAGCCCCGGGAGCCCCGGGCCUGCUUCCUGGGCCCUGCACUCCCAGGGCUGCACCCCAGCCUGGCCCACCUGCAUUGGGCGUCCUGUCACCUUGACGACCCCGGCCGGUGGAGUGGUGGAGAGGGUGUGGACUCUGCAGCCAGCUGGCUCUGAGCUGGGCAUGUCCCCGGAGCAGAGCUCCUUCAAACCCCUGCUCCGCCCCCAGCCGGCUGAGUAACCUCGGGCGACCAGAGACCCCACCCUGCCCCUGCCCCCCGGGUAUUGUGAGCAGCUGACUUCGUUUUCAGGACGCCCCGAGGAAGCAAAAGGCAGAAUGGAGGGCCUCCUGCCUGUCCGGGGGAAGCAGAGAGGCCUGGACGCGGCUGCAGAGGGGCAGGGCGGCAGGGCACAGGGCGAGGUCCUGAGCCCAGCAGGGCCCUGUCGCGGUGGACAUGCCCCCCCACCCCCAUCCCACCAGCAGGGCUGCACAACCGAGGAGACUCCAAGAGACAGCUCAGCAGAACCCCCCGCAGCCCUGCCAACGGACCCCACCGACACUGCGGCCGUGUCCCCCGCCAGGCUCUCAGGCCCUCAUCACUCUCCCCCAGCAUCCCCCCAACUUUCUAGCCCUGAUCCCUAAAGGGCAGAGGGAGGGGCUCUCUGAGCAGAAAUAGGCCGUAAGCAGUUUCCCUCCUCAGGAAGCAGCUAUUUCAUAAAUACGAUGGCGGGGGUG